GCGGCACAAUGUAAAACGCUCCUCUUUCGCGCGGCCCAGCCGUGGGAAACGGAGCGGGCCAUGACCCGGAAGUGAACCCUCGACUCGAUUGGGAGGAGGGAAAGGUAGUCCCGGGAAGAAGACGAGGACGAAGGGAGGCCCGGCCUUGCUCCAAAGCCGCCGGCUCGCCUCCUUCCCCGCUUCCGUCUCGGGACUGCCCCUUGCAGCCGCCUGGAGGACGAGGGACGCGGGUGGAAGGAACCGCCUGACUAUCCGGGCCUGCUUUUCUCUCGAGGCCUUCUCGCUCUGGAGCCCCCCCCCGCCCCCAUUUCCUCGAGGCCGCCUUGAACGUGAAGAAGGCCUCAGGCUGGCUUAAGGGAGCGGGGGGCCGUUUUGGCAGGGAGAGCAUUUUGGGUGACUUUUUCCUUCCUGACUACAAUAUUGAAUGAAAAUUUCUGGAGAGUGCCCAGAGUUUGGGGCACUGAGGCAAUUCUGGAGCAACAUUUCAAUUGUCUGUUUUUUGUUUUUGUUUUUUGCAAAUUUACAAAAUGACAUACUUGGAAAGUUAUAAUAACUCAAUGGAUAUGAAUUCUUUUUUUAAAAAAAAACAAAAAACUGGAAGAGAUGUACAAAUUUACUAACCCCGUUCCUAAGAUAAUGUUCUCAAUCUUAAAUAAGAGCCAGCUUUGGCAGUUACUUGUGUGACUUGCAUUCCUUCUAAAGGUUUUUUUCUUUAAAAAAAAUAAAUAUUGUAUAUAAGUGGGUUUCCUUUAAUGCAUAACUCCUGGCAAUUUAUAAAAUUUAAGUCUAGUUAACAAAUUCUGGUUUGUAUCUGAAUAUGUUUUGGUAUAAGUUUUUAUCCCUGCCUUGCUUUGCUAUUAAAGGUUUUAUAAGAUUACCAGGACAACUAACAAAUUGCACAUUUGUGUUUUUUUUAUGAAUUUGUGUAACUCUUUCAUUGAAACUGGCCCUUUUUUUGUUUGUUUGUUUGUUUAGGGGGAAAAUUUUCUGACACUGGAAUUGCACAGAAUAUGCAAAACACUCUUUAAAUCAUUACACUAAAAAGGCCUAAAGUUUUGUCCCCAAGUUGAACGGCCUUAAAUGUACUGUAAGCCUUUGAUUGUUGUACAAACAGAUUGCAAUUGAUUAUGGUUUGUGUAUUUGUUGCCGGAACGCAACAACAGUGGUUGUAAUGGAAUAAAGGAUGCAUGGAAUAGA